AGGGUUGUAGCUCAGUGGUAGAGCACUCACCUCAUGUAUGUGAGGCACUGGAUUCAAUUCCCAGCACCUCAU
rnacentral:tRNA from 1 species